UAUCUCUGUAGAGUCUGCAUAUCAAUAAGCGGAGGAAAAGAAACUAACAAGGAUUCCCUUAGUAACGGCGAGUGAAGCGGGAAGAGCUCAAAUUUGAAAUCUUCAAGGUUUUACCUUGACGAAUUGUAGUUUAAAGAAGUGUUUUCUGUUGAAGUUUCGGUAAAAGUUCUUUGGAAUAGGACAUCAUAGAGGGUGAGAAUCCCGUAUUUGACCGUUAUUUUCAGCUGUGUGAUACACUUUCAAAGAGUCGGAUUGUUUGGGAAUGCAGUCCAAAAUGGGUGGUAAAUUUCAUCUAAAGCUAAAUAUUGGCGAGAGACCGAUAGCGAACAAGUACCGUGAGGGAAAGAUGAAAAGAACUUUGAAAAGAGAGUUAAACAGUACGUGAAAUUGUCAAAAGGGAAGCGUUUGACACCAGUGUUGUUUUCUCGAAAAUCAAUUAAAAAUGAGCCUGAUUUUGUGUUGUAUUGACCUUUAUCAAGCUUUCUGCACUUUUUUCAUUGUCUUUUUUAAUGCACUUUUCGUUUAACAAGUCAACAUCAAUUUCUUUUGUUGUAAAAGGGUCAUUGGAAGGUGGCUUUCACUUCGGUGAAAGUGUUUAUAGCCUUUGACUUCUGCAAUCGGAGAGAUUGAGGUCUGCAGCGUAGAUCCUUCGGGGUUAGAUACAUUUGUGCUAAGUUAUAGCUUUUCAUAGACAACAUGUUGACUAUGAUUAAGUCAUGUAGCUUACUCGCUUAUGCUAUUUUACCUACGCUUAGGAUGUUG
rnacentral:rRNA from 1 species